GGGGAAGUGCCCGAGUGGUUAAAGGGGGCGGACUGUAAAUCCGUUGGCUAAGCCUACGAUGGUUCAAAUCCAUCUUUCCCCACCA
rnacentral:tRNA from 1 species